GGACGAACGCUGGCGGCGUGCCUACUACAUGCAAGUAGAACGCUGAAGGAGGAGCUUGCUUCUCUGGAUGAGUUGCGAACGGGUGAGUAACGCGUAGGUAACCUGCCUGGUAGCGGGGGAUAACUAUUGGAAACGAUAGCUAAUACCGCAUAAUAGUAGAUGUUGCAUGACAUUUGCUUAAAAGGUGCAAUUGCAUCACUACCAGAUGGACCUGCGUUGUAUUAGCUAGUUGGUGGGGUAACGGCUCACCAAGGCGACGAUACAUAGCCGACCUGAGAGGGUGAUCGGCCACACUGGGACUGAGACACGGCCCAGACUCCUACGGGAGGCAGCAGUAGGGAAUCUUCGGCAAUGGACGGAAGUCUGACCGAGCAACGCCGCGUGAGUGAAGAAGGUUUUCGGAUCGUAAAGCUCUGUUGUAAGAGAAGAACGAGUGUGAGAGUGGAAAGUUCACACUGUGACGGUAUCUUACCAGAAAGGGACGGCUAACUACGUG
rnacentral:rRNA from 1 species